AUGGAGUCUUAGACCUUUUAGACCUUUAGCUCCAGAAAGGGAAACUGUUCCACCAAGAGGGAUGAGCAGCACCGCAGAGGCAGUUUGAGAAGGACCCUGGAAGAGCUGCUCACAUGGAUGGACAGGAGAAACCAGGAGCAGCUUCAAUUCCUCAGAGCACCGAGAAGAAGGCUUUUCAGCAGGAAAAUACAUUGAUGAACUGGCUCAGGAAGCCAGAGGCACAGCAUAGAAAAUCGGAGCAUUCCCUCUGGAGAGGCACAUUGAACUGGUGGCCGAAUGAGUUCAAGGUCUGCUUGCUGCCAAGGCCACUGAUCCUGAAGUGAAGAUGAAGUGCCAUCUCCUCCUCUUCCUUCUGCCACCCAGGGUGCUGCUGAGCCGGAGGAUCCUCUUUCAAGGACCCCCCGCCUCACCAGGAGGAGAACAUGGAGUCUGCUGGACUCCCAGGACCUUACCCUCUCCCAGCACCUGAAAUCGUUCGUGGGAUGACCCCUCCAGCAUCUAAGAGGGGAACAAUGAGGGAGUCCUGGAACCCCUUCAAGUGCUCAGCUGCCCCAAACCCUUCACAGGAGGUUGAUUUCCCCUACCCCCCCCCCAUCAUCCCCCCUUUAUCAGGAGGAGGGCAAAGAGAUGGGUGCAGACACAGUAACAUUUGCCAGGUGUUCCCCCAAUGUUGAUUUUUGGUUGACUUUUCUUUUAAAAAAAUAUUUAAGUUACAUGUUCCAUCUAGUACUUCUAAUAAAUGCUAUAGUUGCCUUGACUUGUGUGUCAAGGCCCCUCCUUCCUAAAUAUACUGAAAUGAAGUUGUUUUCAGGUUCAGGAUAUGAAACUGAAUGGAAUAACUGUCUGGUGCCAGGAUACUGCAAAACACUCUUCGGUCUGCCCUUCACCCCUAUACCAGGUGCAGAAAAAUCCCUGGCCCCAAGAUACAAGGGAGGGAUGGGGAAAGUGUCCUUUGUGUUACAUGCUAACAGAAAGCACUACUAGUUUUCAAUGCAGCAGAACUCUACCACACAGAAAAGAGGUAGAUGAACAUCUUUAUGGUUUAUUUCACAUGCAGAAAAUUGAAACAAUUCCAGCAACAAUACUGGCAAUGACAACACCUGCCACUACCCUGUGCACAAACUGCCCCUCCAUCCCCCAAAAAAGCCUUGACCAGGUUCAACGAUAGUAUGGGUGAAUGCUGUUAGCACUGCUGACCGUGAAUGGAAUGGUUAAAAGGAAGAAGGGCUGCAUGCCUCCCACACAAGCAAAUCUUCAUAAGGUCCUCAAGAGAGACUGAGUACACCAGAGAACAAGUUUGUAGACAAGUGUGAAUAGUGAACACAAAAACAUGGCCCAAUGACCGUGUUACAACUCAGCUGCCACUUUCCACAGCACAAACCCCAUCCUAAGGAGAUAACCCAGUGGAUGUGCCCGGUCAUAAUUGUCUUUAAUGUGUGCAAUGUCACAGGAGCAAAUGGCUAAUGACCUUCAACUACAGGGAAACAAAACCCUCCCAAAGCUAAGUAGCAUCACACAUAUGUACCAAUGUUCCCUUUUGUGCAUUUCCAGCA